rnacentral:rRNA from 1 species
GAUCAUGGCUCAGGACGAACGCUGGCGGCGUGCUUAACACAUGCAAGUCGAACGAAGAGCGAUGGAAGCUUGCUUCUAUCAAUCUUAGUGGCGAACGGGUGAGUAACGCGUAAUCAACCUGCCCCUUCGGAGGGGGACGAACAGUUGGAACGACUGCUAUACCGCAUACGAUCUAAUCUCGGCAUCGAGGAUGGAUGAAAGGUGGCCUCUAUUUAUAAGCUAUCACUGAAGGG